UAGGGAAUCUUCGGCAAUGGACGAAAGUCUGACCGAGCAACGCCGCGUGAGUGAAGAAGGUUUUCGGAUCGUAAAACUCUGUUGUUAGAGAAGAACAAGGACGUUAGUAACUGAACGUCCCCUGACGGUAUCUAACCAGAAAGCCACGGCUAACUACGUGCCAGCAGCCGCGGUAAUACGUAGGUGGCAAGCGUUGUCCGGAUUUAUUGGGCGUAAAGCGAGCGCAGGCGGUUUCUUAAGUCUGAUGUGAAAGCCCCCGGCUCAACCGGGGAGGGUCAUUGGAAACUGGGAGACUUGAGUGCAGAAGAGGGGAGUGGAAUUCCAUGUGUAGCGGUGAAAUGCGUAGAUAUAUGGAGGAACACCAGUGGCGAAGGCGGCUCUCUGGUCUGUAACUGACGCUGAGGAUCGAAAGCGUGGGGAGCAAACAGG
rnacentral:rRNA from 1 species